GUUCCUCUUGAGCUGUUGCUGGUUGUUGGAAGGGAUAAGCGUUUCAGGAUCCACCCCUGCAGAGAAGCUUGGACUAAUUGCCUUCCCAGAGACUCUUCCUCCUGCAGAUUGAGAGGGCAGCUGCUGCUGGCUGCGGGCUCAAAAGCAGCCACGAUGCUGUAACUCCAAGCAACAGGAAGGGUCAGGAAGCAGAGGGGAAGUGCCCUGGCAGCAGCUCUGCAGACUCAGACUGUCACUUCCAGUCCAGGAUCUCCAGCUAAGUACUGCACUUCUGGGCUGAUCAACACCUUCCCUUGGACUGCUUCAGCUUGCACAGCUCACCCAGUGAGGAAUUAGUGAGGUGAGGAAACCCAAGACCUCUCACAGGAAGCUGCCACACUGUUGUCCCUUCCAGUCAGCACUUCUAUA